rnacentral:tRNA from 1 species
GUUUUAAUAGUUUAAUAAAAACAUUGGUCUUGUAAGUCAAAAAUAAGAAAUUUUCUUUUAAAGCU